CAUAGAGAGGAGGCUUUGCAUGGUCAGCUGAUCCUCCAGUGAACUGAGAAGGUUUAUAGUCCUGGGAGUUCAACACUGCAGGACUCAGAUCUGUCAGUCAACACAGCAGAAAGCACGACCACCAUGACUCUCCUCACCAUCCUCAUCUGGACGCUGGCCUGCUGCUGUCUUACAGGAUCUAAUGGUCAAGUGACAGUGACUCAACCUGCUGUUGUAACAUCUCCUCUUGGAUCCGCAGUCACUCUGACUUGUACAACCAACCCAAAAGUUCAUGUUUGGUCAGAUGGAGAUAGUAGAGUACACUGGUACCAGCAGAAAUCUGGAGAAGCUCCGAAGUUGGUCAUCAACUUGGGUACAAAUCCCACAAGUGCAUUUUCUUCUAGAUUCUCUGGCCGAGGAGACGGAGUGAACGCUGCAAUGACCAUCAGUGGAGUUCAGGCUGAAGAUGCAGCAGUUUAUUACUGUCAGAGUUUACAUGUAAUAAACAGUCAUAAAGUGUGGACUUUUGGUGGAGGAACCAAACUCACUUUCACUCUGGUCCCAUGGUCAGGCCCUCAGUCUCUCUGCUUCCCCCUUCCUCUGAGCAGCUCUCUGGGGGCUCGGCCACGCUGGCCUGCCUGCUGACUGGCUACUCUCCCCAGGGAGCCGUGGUGAGCUGGGAGCUGGACGGUACAGAGGUGACAGAGGGGGUCCUGAGCAGCUCCGAGGAGGAGAAGGGUGGACGCUACAGCAGCAGCAGCACCCUGAGCCUGAGCCAGGAGCACUGGAUGUUAGGAGAGCUGUACUCCUGCAAGGUCCUCCAUCAUGGCCACAACCAGACCCAGACCCUCCA